GCAAGUCGAACGGGCCGCAAGGUCAGUUGGCAAACGGGCUGCGAUAACGCGAUAAGCAACCUGCCUCCAACUGGGGGAUAGCCCGGCGAAAGCUGGGGUAAUCCCGCAUAGUCCCUUUCACUCACCUGGGUGGCUGGGUAAACUUUUUGGGUUGGAGAGGGGCUUGCGUCUGAUUAGCUAGUUGGCAGGGUAACGGCCUACCAAGGCUUUGAUCAGUAGGGGUUCUGAGAGGAUUGGCCCCCACAUGGGUACUGAGAGACGGACCCAACUCCUACGGGAGGCAGCAGUAGGGAAUAUUGGGCAAUGGGCGAGAGCCUGACCCAGCCAUGCCGCGUGCAGGAUGAAGGCGCUCAGCGUUGUAAACUGCUUUUAUCGGUGAAGAACGGCAGGUCUGCGGACUUGUGUGACGGUAGCCGAGGAAUAAGCACCGGCUAACUCCGUGCCAGCAGCCGCGGUAAU
rnacentral:rRNA from 1 species